GCGCAACGAAUUGGGCGCUGUCUCGACCAUGGACCCGGUGAAAUUCCACUAGUCGUGAAGAUGCGACUUACCCGCGGAAGGACGGAAAGACCCCGUGAACCUUCACUGCAGCUUGGCAUUGGCCGCUGGCCCGUCGCGUAGAGGAUAGGCGGGAGGCUUCGAAGCCCGGGCGCCAGCCCGGGUGGAGCCGACCUUGGAAUACCGCCCUCGGCGCGCCGGCGUCCUAACCCCAUGCCGUCAUCCGGAUGGGGGACCGUGCCAGGUGGGUAGUUUGACUGGGGCGGUCGCCUCCUAAAGGGUAACGGAGGCGCGCGAAGGUCCGCUCGGGACGGUCGGCAACCGUCCUCUUGAGUGCAAGAGCAUAAGCGGGCUUGACUGCGAGGCCUACAAGCCGAGCAGGUGCGAAAGCAGGCUCUAGUGAUCCGGCGGCCCCGCGUGGGUGGGCCGUCGCUCAACGGAUAAAAGGUACUCCGGGGAUAACAGGCUGAUCUUGCCCAAGAGUCCACAUCGACGGCAAGGUUUGGCACCUCGAUGUCGGCUCAUCGCAUCCUGGGGCUGGAGCAGGUCCCAAGGGUACGGCUGUUCGCCGUUUAAAGCGGUACGCGAGCUGGGUUCAGAACGUCGUGAGACAGUUCGGUCCCUAUCCUCCGCGGGCGCAAGGGAGUUGAGGAGAUCUGCCCCUAGUACGAGAGGACCGGGGUGGACGCACCUCUGGUGAACCGGUUGUCGACCAACGGCACGGCCGGGUAGCCACGUGCGGCGCGGAUAACCGCUGAAGGCAUCUAAGCGGGAAGCCGUUCCCGAGAUCAGUUCUCCUUUCGGUAAGGGCCCAGGUAGACUACCUGGUCGAUAGGCCGCAGGUGCAAGCACGGCGACGUGCUCAGCCGAGCGGUACUAAUAGCCCGAGCUCUUACCCGC
rnacentral:rRNA from 1 species